rnacentral:rRNA from 1 species
AGAGUUUGAUCAUGGCUCAGGACGAACGCUGGCGGCACGCUUAACACAUGCAAGUCGAACGAGAGAAGAGGAGCUUGCUUUUCUGAUCUAGUGGCGGACGGGUGAGUAACACGUGAGCAAUCUGCCUUUCAGAGGGGGAUACCGAUUGGAAACGAUCGUUAAUACCGCAUAACAUAAUUGAACCGCAUGAUUUGAUUAUCAAAGAUUUAUCGCUGAAAGAUGAGCUCGCGUCUGAUUAGCUAGUUGGUAAGGUAACGGCUUACCAAGGCGACGAUCAGUAGCCGGACUGAGAGGUUGAUCGGCCACAUUGGGACUGAGACACGGCCCAGACUCCUACGGGAGGCAGCAGUGGGGAAUAUUGCACAAUGGAGGAAACUCUGAUGCAGCGAUGCCGCGUGAGGGAAGAAGGUUUUAGGAUUGUAAACCUCUGUCUUCAGGGACGGAAAAAGACGGUACCUGAGGAGGAAGCUCCGGCUAACUACGUGCCAGCAGCCGCGGUAAUACGUAGGGAGCGAGCGUUGUCCGGAAUUACUGGGUGUAAAGGGAGCGUAGGCGGGAUCGCAAGUCAGAUGUGAAAACUAUGGGCUUAACCCAUAAACUGCAUUUGAAACUGUGGUUCUUGAGUGAAGUAGAGGUAAGCGGAAUUCCUAGUGUAGCGGUGAAAUGCGUAGAUAUUAGGAGGAACAUCAGUGGCGAAGGCGGCUUACUGGGCUUUAACUGACGCUGAGGCUCGAAAGCGUGGGGAGCAAACAGGAUUAGAUACCCUGGUAGUCCACGCCGUAAACGAUGAUUACUAGGUGUGGGGGGACUGACCCCUUCCGUGCCGCAGCAAACGCAAUAAGUAAUCCACCUGGGGAGUACGACCGCAAGGUUGAAACUCAAAGGAAUUGACGGGGGCCCGCACAAGCAGUGGAGUAUGUGGAUUAAUUCGAAGCAACGCGAAGAACCUUACCAGGUCUUGACAUCGUAUGCAUAGCUCAGAGAUGAGUGAAAUCUCUUCGGAGACAUAUAGACAGGUGGUGCAUGGUUGUCGUCAGCUCGUGUCGUGAGAUGUUGGGUUAAGUCCCGCAACGAGCGCAACCCUUAUCUUUAGUAGCCAGCGAGUAAAGUCGGGCGCUCUAGAGAGACUGCCGGGGAUAACCCGGAGGAAGGUGGGGAUGACGUCAAAUCAUCAUGCCCCUUAUGACCAGGGCUACACACGUGCUACAAUGGCGUAAACAAAGGGAAGCGACCCUGUGAAGGCAAGCGAAUCCCAAAAAUAACGUCCCAGUUCGGAUUGUAGUCUGCAACUCGACUACAUGAAGCUGGAAUCGCUAGUAAUCGCGAAUCAGCAUGUCGCGGUGAAUACGUUCCCGGGUCUUGUACACACCGCCCGUCACACCAUGGGAGUCGGAAAUGCCCGAAGUCGGUGACCUAACCGAAAGGAAGGAACCGCCGAAGGCAGGUCUGGUAACUGGGGUGAAGUCGUAACAAGGUA